ACGUAGGGUGCAAGCGUUAAUCGGAAUUACUGGGCGUAAAGCGUGCGCAGGCGGCUUUGCAAGACAGAUGUGAAAUCCCCGGGCUCAACCUGGGAACUGCCUUUGUGACUGCAAGGCUGGAGUGCGGCAGAGGGGGAUGGAAUUCCGCGUGUAGCAGUGAAAUGCGUAGAUAUGCGGAGGAACACCGAUGGCGAAGGCAAUCCCCUGGGCCUGCACUGACGCUCAUGCACGAAAGCGUGGGGAGCAAACAGG
rnacentral:rRNA from 1 species